rnacentral:lncRNA from 1 species
CAAAUCUAUCUAUAGAAAACAAAUAUGUACUGCUUAUAUCCUUUAUGACAUAUAAAAAAGACGGUGGAUACCCAACUGGACAAUCGAAGAUCAUAAGCGAAAUGACCUUGACUACACAUUGUCAAAAAUCAAGGGUCAAUGAUUUUACAAUCAAUUCCGCCAAACUCUACAUAGAAAACAAACUAAUAAGUAACAUGAAGCAGAACGAAAUGGGGGUGAUUUCAGAUGAUAAGAAAAGGCUAG